GGGGAAGUGGAGAAAGACACGGAAGGGAGUGUAUAGGUAGCGAGGGCAGUGAUAGAAGGGAGGACCGGCAAUAAUUGGCUGGCUUGGCGGCUGUUGCGUCUCUGCUGUAUGCCUAGCCAGCGAGGACUCACUUUCCACACAAAUCAACCUGAGAGAUUGCUACUGCCAGCAAUCAAUAACUCCGCGGAGUGAAGCUGCAGAAACCUGAAGCGUCCCUGGUCUGGGUCUUUAAAAGGGGCUGCCCGCACUGAAUCCGAGCCCUCUGCUUCCCAGACAAAGAAGUGGGCGCUAAAAAAGCAGGGUAAUAAGUUUAACCCCCACCCCAACCCCAUUGUAAAGAUCUUUCAAAAUUAAAGGGCACACAUAUCAAGGUAUCAAGAGAAAAAAAAAAGUUAAAAGGGGACCUGUGAAAAUCCAUUCUUUGAAUUGAAGGUUUCUGUGAUAUUUCAAGAAAUGGGAUAGAAUCAAUGUUCCAAAGAACAUUUAACAAUUUUGUUGGGAAGACUCCACCUACUCUGAAGCCAAGAAAAAGUUCAUUUGUGUACUCAGAGUCAUUGAAAGCUGGUUUCAAACAGACUAGAACGCAGGAGCACUCAUCUGUACUCAGUAUGGUUAAACACUGCUUGGAAAGGUGCCAAAGAAGAGCUGAAACUGUGAAGUAACUUCUAUGAAGCGAUGAAGUAAAGAAUGGAAGGCAAAUGACUGUAUGUGUAUGUGGUGAGUGCUUAACAUUUGUUAUUAUCAUCUAUCACAAAGUUAAUUCAUAAAACUAAAACUGCCAGACUCUUUUUCAUUAGGUAUUUAUAAUGUAAACAUGUAUAAAAAUGAUAAAAUGUUGCAUAAUCAUUGUGUAAUUUAUUUUAUAGCAAUAUACCAUUUUGCUUAAAACUCACAUGUCACCUUUCAGGGCCUACCUUUCCAAGUCUGUUUUACAAUUAAUCUCUUUCAGAGGAAGCUAUGUAUGUCAUCUACACAUUUUUUUACACUCUUGGAAUUUGUAUCUAGCUGCUUUUUAUAUCUGAACUUCUAUGUUCGAUUACCAUGUUUGUGUUGAAAGUAUACUGGCUGAAGAACAAAUACUAUACAGUUGAAUAAUAUCAAGAGGUAGAUUAAUCUAUAGACUUUCUUCAUAUUAAGGCAGGUUGCUGUGGCAACCUUCCCAGCUUACUUUAGAAUAAUUUUUUAAAGCUCACUUCAAGAGCUACACCCAGAGUGGGCCAGGCUUAAAACCAGGCAGACCCAAUGCACAGGUAGACUGCUGAUUUAAUGUAGGGAAGUAGUAAGGAGUGGAAAGCCAGUAAAAUGAUAUGCAACCCUGAAUAGAAAUUAGAAAUUAGCUUUCCCUAGGGUUAAAUCCUGAGGAUCACACUCUCUGUAACUUCUGUAGCUCCUUAAAUAUGUUGCGAGACGUUUCUGUUAGAGAAAAAAAAAA
rnacentral:lncRNA from 1 species